CCUUUUUGUUUGGUUACGAAUGUCUUCCUCUUCUCUCCCGAAGGAAGGAAAUCGGGGAAAAAUGAAAAUGAAAGGAAUCGAAGGAGACACCUCAGUGGGAGGAGCAGGGCGUUACAUUUUUAAUCUGACGCGAAUAAUUAGCGAGGACAUAAUAUUUUACGUUGAUGUGGACGCAGAGUCGCUUGUUGAAAUGAAAACAUCGGGAGUCACCAGAUUCAAUUCCAUAAAGCAAUCUAUCCUACUCUUUAUCAAUUCCAAUCACUCUAUCAAACCCGACCACUGCCUCUUGGCUUAGAAAAGAGUUUAGUAGUGAUGUUGAGUCUACCAUUGCUGCUGUUCGAGCAUUCUCGGCUACCACAAUCUCUACUGCGCAAGCAAACCUCACCAAUUUAUUCCGCUUAGCUGCUCAAUUUUAAAAGUGAGAAUAACUUUUUGUUCAAUUUUAAAGUUGUUAUUGAUUUCAUGUUGUUUAAAAGGAUUUUGUUGUUUCAGUUAGAAGCAAUUGGUUGUUUAAUAAAAUUUGAUUAAAAAAGAGAUCAAUAUGGUGGCGCCGGAGUUAGCUGUUGUAUUUACUAAGUUCAGUUAUUCAUUGCUUUUGAAAAGUGCUUUUGAAAAGUGCCGUGGAGAAGUGCUUUUCAGAAGUACUUUUGAGAAGUGCUUUUGAAAAUUUUGAGUGUUUGGUAUUGCUGUCAAAAAGUGCUUUUGAAGAAUAAAAUGUUCAUUUUAGAUAUGAUAUUAUAAAGUAAUAAAUAUGUAUUUAAAUAAUGUUCAAAUUAGUUAAUAUUAUGAUAUUUUAGCAAAAAUAUCAAAAAAUUAUUAUAACUUAUUAUUAAUAUUUUAAUAUAUAAUAUUAAUUUUAAAUAUUUCUAAGUAAUUAAAAUUAUUUAUUUAUUAAAUUUAAUUAGAAUAUAUAACAUAUAUUUAAAUAUUUAAAUAUAAUAAUUAAAUAUUUGUAAUUAGAUAUUGACACAUUAUCUAAUAAAAGUAUUGGCGCGCAUAGCGCAUACUACUUUUUAAUACCAUAUAAAAGUAAGGUUAAAUACUACUCAACAAUUUAAUAUACCAUAUAUAUUUUUAGAAAUAAAUAAAUUGCCAGUAAAAGAAAGGCUACCCACGCUUGGUUAUACAAAUAAAGCAGUUCCUAAAAGAUUAUUAUAAAUACAGAAAGUUUGUGUGUGUGGUGGGGCUAAAAAAGUAAAAAACCAGCUUAGAAGCACUUUUCUGCUGGAAAAGCUAUAAAUUUCUGCUUCUUCAUCUUGGCAAAAGCACUUUAAAGAAGUUGAAAAAUUGACCCCAAAUGAAGGUUAUUCUUCAUUACUUUUCACCCAAAAGCACUUUUGGGUGUAAAAGUGCUUUUCCACCGGGUAGAAGAACACUAUCUACUUCAGGCCAUGCAUCUAUGGUCUCCAUAAACAUAUUUGUAGCUCUUCUUUGUGCUUGCAUUGUGAUUGGUCAUCUUUUGGAGGAGAAUAGAUGGAUGAACGAAUCAAUUACUGCCCUUAUCAUUGUGAGUUUCUCUAUUGACAUCUUUUGACGUGGAUUUUGUCAUUCAUGGACAAUUCAGCUAAGUUUUGAUUACAUGGUUUUGUAUGCUUUUCUUGUUUGAUAUCUUUGAUUUAAAUUACUUUUGUUGGCAGGGUGUUUUUACUGGGGUCAUUAUUUUGUUGACAAGUGGGGGUAAAGGCUCUCAUAUUUUAGUCUUCAGUGAAGAUUUGUUCUUUAUCUAUCUUCUGCCCCUAUUAUACCUUGUAAAAGGUAAAAUAGAUGGACAUAUAAUACUUGUCCAAUGUGAAGCUUUGUUUUGUUUAAAUAGCCAUUCCUGAGUUUCUAUUCUGGCUUAAACUUGAGUGCAUUGAGAAUUCCCCAAUGUUUUCAUUGCUGUAAACAGAGGAACAUAUAUGUCUUUUCUACUUGUUAAGGUUUGAUGUUUUAUUUAAAAUUUUUUAGAGUAAAAAUGAUGGCGACAUUUAGUUAAUAUUUUGCUUUCCUAAAGCCUUUCUGAUCUCUGCUUUCUCUGCCAGGUUUCAGGUGAAAAAGAGGCAUUUUUUCCGUAACUUUUUCACCAUCAUGCUGUUUGGGGCUGUUGGUACACUAGUAUCUGGUACAAUUAUAUCUUUAGGUAUUUCCAACGGCCUUAUGGAGACAGUAUAUAGUAGUGUAGAUGUUCUUAAGCGAAGCACCUCAAUUCGCUGGAAUAAUAAACGACAAAGUGGUUUUAAAUCGAUGAAGAAGAAAAUUGAAGGAGCAACAGACGAAAUUAGAAAUGUUGUAAGGAUUGGUAAUUACACAAUCCCUAAAGAGAUGAAUGAGGUCUGCAAUUGGAUUACAGCAAGGUUGGGGCUUGAGGGAUAACGCUAAAUAUAGCAAAGAGUCGGGAAGCAAUAAAGGUGAAAAGAAAGAAGACUGCAUAUGUUACAAGUAGGUAGUAAACAAAAUGGAUUGUUAGGGUAUAUGGUUACUUGGAUCUGGAGAUGCUUCACUACCUGGGGCUACCCUUGUUGAAAUAAAAGAUUAGUAGAGUUUCUUGGAAUUGAAGUUGCAAUUUCAAACUGUAUUAGCUUUUAUGUAGUACAACAUCAAUAUCAAUGCCCAUCAUCUUAGGUACUUUUUUAUUUGUUUACUUUUGUACAUUGAGUUGAAUGUUGGUGGUAUUCAUUUCGGCUAAAUGUUAGUGUAUUUUGAUGGUUGGAUUAA